rnacentral:rRNA from 1 species
AGGGCACCACCAGGAGUGGAGCCUGCGGCUUAAUUUGACUCAACACGGGAAAACUUACCCGGCCCGGACACUGGAAGGAUUGACAGAUUGAGAGCUCUUUCUUGAUUCAGUGGGUGGUGGUGCAUGGCCGUUCUUAGUUGGUGGAGCGAUUUGUCUGGUUAAUUCCGAUAACGAACGAGACUCUAGCCUACUAAAUAGACUGUUCAGCUUUAUAGCCGGAAUCACUGGGCGUGUAGCUCUCCGCAAGGGGGGUUGCAUGUUCGGCUCUGGUGACGUUGGCAGUGCUUCUUAGAGGGACAGGCGGCGGUUCAGCCGCACGAAACAGAGCAAUAACAGGUCUGUGAUGCCCUUAGAUGUCCGGGGCUGCACGCGCGCUACACUGAAGUGAUCAGCGUGCAAUUUACGUUUGGCGAUCUGUCAAGAUUGCCCAACCCGUUGAACCUUCUUCGUGAUUGGGAUAGGGGAUUGUAAUUAUUCCCCUUGAACGAGGAAUUCCCAGUAAGCGCAAGUCAUAAGCUU